rnacentral:rRNA from 1 species
GAUGAACGCUAGCUAUAGGCUUAACACAUGCAAGUCGAGGGACCGGCGCACGGGUGAGUAACGCGUAUCCAACCUGCCCAUAACUAAGGGAUAACCCAGCGAAAGUUGGACUAAUACCUUAUGGUUAUGGAUGGGGAUGCGUCUGAUUAGCUUGUUGGCGGGGUAACGGCCCACAAAGGCAACGAUCAGUAGGGGUUCUGAGAGGGUUGGGGGCGGGGUACCGGCGCACGAAGGGAAGGAUCAGGAGGGGGUCGGAGGGGAGGGUGCCCCACAUUGGAACUGAGACACGGGCAAAGUGCUACGGGAGGCAGGAAUGGACGCAAGUCUGAACCAGCCAAGUAGCGGGCAGGAUGACGGCGCUAUGGGUUGUAAACUGCUUUUAUUGGGGAUAGUGGGAACGUGUGCCCUUUUGCAGGUACCAUAUGAAUAAGGACCGGCUAAUUCCGUGCCAGCAGCCGGGGUAAUAC